AGUGAACGCUGGCGGUAGGCCUAACACAUGCAAGUCGAACGGCAGCACAGUAAGAGCUUGCUCUUACGGGUGGCGAGUGGCGGACGGGUGAGGAAUACAUCGGAAUCUACUUUUUCGUGGGGGAUAACGUAGGGAAACUUACGCUAAUACCGCAUACGACCUACGGGUGAAAGCAGGGGAUCUUCGGACCUUGCGCGAUUGAAUGAGCCGAUGUCGGAUUAGCUAGUUGGCGGGGUAAAGGCCCACCAAGGCGACGAUCCGUAGCUGGUCUGAGAGGAUGAUCAGCCACACUGGAACUGAGACACGGUCCAGACUCCUACGGGAGGCAGCAGUGGGGAAUAUUGGGCAAUGGGCGCAAGCCUGAUCCAGCCAUACCGCGUGAGUGAAGAAGGCCUUCGGGUUGUAAAGCCCUUUUGUUGGGAAAGAAAAGCAGCAGGUUAAUACCCCGAUGUUCUGACGGUACCCAAAGAAUAAGCACCGGCUAACUUCGUG
rnacentral:rRNA from 1 species